AAAAGUUAGUAUCAAAGAUGCAGCUGCUUUUGCGUUUCUACAGCAGUCAAAAAAAAAAAAAAAGACCCCAAAGUGGCAGUUGUCGCCUUGGCCACUGUUCUGUGAUCUGUAACUGAUUUGUGACAUUUUGGGAAAAGACAGCU
rfam:Loxodonta africana unplaced genomic scaffold scaffold_11, whole genome shotgun sequence.